CCUACGGGAGGCAGCAGUGAGGAAUAUUGGUCAAUGGACGGGAGUCUGACCCAGCCACGUAGCGUGAAGGAUGACUGCCCUAUGGGUUGUAAACUUCUUUUAUAUGGGAAUAAAACAGGGUAUGCAUACCCUCUUGUAUGUACCCUAUGAAUAAGCAUCGGCUAACUCCGUGCCAGCAGCCGCGGUAAUACGGAGGAUCCGAGCGUUAUCCGGAUUUAUUGGGUUUAAAGGGAGCGUAGGUGGUUUGUUAAGUCAGUUGUGAAAGUUUGCGGCUAAACCGUGGAAUUGCAGUUGAAACUGGCAGACUUGAGUACAGUAGAGGUGGGCGGAAUUCGUGGUGUAGCGGUGGAAUGCUUAGAUAUCACGAAGAACUCCGAUUGCGAAGGCAGCUCACUGGACUGCAACUGACACUGAUGCUCGAAAGUGUGGGGAGCAAACAGGAUUAGAUACCCGUGUAGUC
rnacentral:rRNA from 1 species